AGAGUUUGAUCAUGGCUCAGAUUGAACGCUGGCGGCGUGCCUAACACAUGCAAGUCGAACGGCAGCAUGAGGUGUAGCAAUACACCUUGAUGGCGAGUGGCGGACGGGUGAGGAAUGCAUCGGAAUCUGCCCAGUCGUGGGGGACAACGCAGGGAAACUUGCGCUAAUACCGCAUACGACCUUCGGGUGAAAGCAGGGGAUCUUCGGACCUUGCGCGAUUGGAUGAGCCGAUGCCGGAUUAGCUAGUUGGCGGGGUAAAAGCCCACCAAGGCGACGAUCCGUAGCUGGUCUGAGAGGAUGAUCAGCCACACUGGGACUGAGACACGGCCCAGACUCCUACGGGAGGCAGCAGUGGGGAAUAUUGGACAAUGGGGGCAACCCUGAUCCAGCAAUGCCGCGUGUGUGAAGAAGGCCUUCGGGUUGUAAAGCACUUUUAUCGGGAACGAAACAUUGUCGGCUAAUACCCGGCAAGACUGACGGUACCCGAGGAAUAAGCACCGGCUAACUCCGUGCCAGCCGCCGCGGUAAUUC
rnacentral:rRNA from 1 species